CGUGAGUAUAUAAAGACAAGUAAAUGUUUUUUUUCUCAAUAUUCUGCUUUUGAAGUUACAUUAUAAAUAAAUCAACAAUGAAAGUUUAUUCAACACUUUUUGUGGCAACAAUUUUACUUGUUUGCUGGGCAAUUAUGGGAGAGGCAGCUGCUCCUCUAGCUCCAAUAAGCAGAGAGAAACGUGCUCCAUCAUGAUUGAUGUCUCUUAGAAAAUUUAGCAAGUUUUAAAUUAAAUGUAAAUCCAACACUAAGUUACUUCAUUGUAUAAUAAUAUCGAAAAAUAUGAUAAAUAAACUGCUGAAUUGAUUGUAUUUUAUAAUUUUAUUUUUAAUUUAAUUUAAUGAUUAAAAUUUUACUUUAAUUGAAACAAUAUAUUAUUUUAUAUAAACAGAGGCCUGAUAUAAUUUGAAAACGAUUAUUUUUCCAAAUAGAUUUAUUUAUUUUUCAACUUGAUAAAAAGUUUCCUUAAAACGUUUAAAAUAAUUUGUUUUAAAUUAUUCUUUUAUCAUUAAACAAUAAUGAAACAAAACCAAGGUUGUAGUUAUUUAAAUUAUUAAAAGUAUAAAAAGCUAAGAACAAUUUUUUUUCAAUAUUUAACAAAAAAUUUUAAGUUACCUUAAAUAAAUCAACAAUGAAAGUUUAUUCAACACUUUUUGUGGUAACAAUUUUACUUGUUUGCUGGGCAAUUGUGGGAGAAGCCAUUCCUUGGGCUCCAUUACAAAGAAGAAAACGUA